rnacentral:rRNA from 1 species
CCUACGGGAGGCAGCAGUGGGGAAUUUUGGACAAUGGGCGCAAGCCUGAUCCAGCAAUGCCGCGUGAGUGAAGAAGGCCUUCGGGUUGUAAAGCUCUUUUGUCAGGGAAGAAACGGCCGAGGCUAAUACCUUUGGCUAAUGACGGUACCUGAAGAAUAAGCACCGGCUAACUACGUGCCAGCAGCCGCGGUAAUACGUAGGGUGCAAGCGUUAAUCGGAAUUACUGGGCGUAAAGCGUGCGCAGGCGGUUUUGUAAGUCUGACGUGAAAUCCCCGGGCUCAACCUGGGAAUUGCGUUGGAGACUGCAAGGCUGGAGUCUGGCAGAGGGGGGUAGAAUUCCACGUGUAGCAGUGAAAUGCGUAGAGAUGUGGAGGAACACCGAUGGCGAAGGCAGCCCCCUGGGUCAAGACUGACGCUCAUGCACGAAAGCGUGGGGAGCAAACAGGAUUAGAUACCCUGGUAGUCCACGCCCUAAACGAUGUCUACUAGUUGUCGGGUCUUAAUUGACUUGGUAACGCAGCUAACGCGUGAAGUAGACCGCCUGGGGAGUACGGUCGCAAGAUUAAAACUCAAAUGAAUUGACGG